GUGGGGAAUUUUGCGCAAUGGGGGAAACCCUGACGCAGCGACGCCGCGUGAAGGAUGAAGGUCUUCGGAUUGUAAACUUCUUUUGUCGGGGAAGAUAAUGACGGUACCCGAUGAAUAAGCCACGGCUAACUCUGUGCCAGCAGCCGCGGUAAGACAGAGGUGGCAAGCGUUGUUCGGAAUUACUGGGCUUAAAGGGCGCGUAGGCGGUGGAGUAAGUCUGAGGUGGAAGAUCAGGGCCUAACCCUGAAAUUGCCUUGGAAACUGCAUCACUUGAGUCAGCGAGGGGAUGGCGGAAUUCCAGGUGUAGCGGUGAAAUGCGUAGAUAUCUGGAGGAAGGCCGGUGGCGAAGGCGGCCAUCUGGCGCUGAACUGACGCUGAGGCGCGAAAGCGUGGGGAGCAAACAGGAUUAGAUACCCCAGUAGUCC
rnacentral:rRNA from 1 species